UGGGGAAUUGUUCACAAUGGGCGCAAGCCUGAUGACGCAACGCCGCGUGGGGGAUGAAGGUCUUCGGAUCGUAAACCCCUGUCGAAUGGGACGAAAGACUCGCGAGUGAAUACUUCGCGAGAGUGACGGUACCGUUAAAGGAAGCCACGGCUAACUCUGUGCCAGCAGCCGCGGUAAUACAGAGGUGGCAAGCGUUGUUCGGAAUUACUGGGCGUAAAGGGCGCGUAGGCGGCCCUCUAAGUCAGACGUGAAAUCCCCCGGCUUAACCUGGGAACUGCGUCUGAUACUGGAGGGCUUGAGUAUGGGAGAGGGAUGUAGAAUUCCAGGUGUAGCGGUGAAAUGCGUAGAGACCGGGAAGAACACCAGUGGCGAAGGCGGCUACCUGGACAGGUACUGACGCCGAAGCGCGAAAGCUAGGGGAGCAAACAGGAUUAGAUACCCCCGUAGUCCCUGAGCGGGCUGGCAAGGCGCAU
rnacentral:rRNA from 1 species